AUUGAACGCUGGCGGCAUGCUUUACACAUGCAAGUCGAACGGCAGCGGGAAGGAGCUUGCUUCUCUGCCGGCGAGUGGCGAACGGGUGAGUAAUACAUCGGAACGUGUCGAGAAGAGGGGGAUAACCACCCGAAAGGGUGGCUAAUACCGCAUAAAUUCUGAGGAAGAAAGCUGGGGACCUAGGAAUAGGCCUAGCGCUUUUUGAGCGGCCGAUGUCGGAUUAGCUAGUUGGUGAGGUAAAGGCUCACCAAGGCGAAGAUCUGUAGCGGGUCUGAGAGGAUGAUCCGCCACACUGGGACUGAGACACGGCCCAGACUCCUACGGGAGGCAGCAGUGGGGAAUUUUGGACAAUGGGGGCAACCCUGAUCCAGCCAUGCCGCGUGUAUGAAGAAGGCCUUAGGGUUGUAAAGUACUUUUGUUAGGGAAGAAAAGUCAGCUGUGAAUAAUGGCUGAUACUGACGGUACCUAAAGAAUAAGCACCGGCUAACUACGUG
rnacentral:rRNA from 1 species